UACGUAGGGGGCGAGCGUUGUCCGGAUUUAUUGGGCGUAAAGAGCGUGUAGGCGGUCAGGCAGGUCUGCUGUGAAAACUCGAGGCUCAACCUCGAGACGUCGGCGGAAACCAUCUGGCUAGAGUCCGGAAGAGGAGAGUGGAAUUCCUGGUGUAGCGGUGAAAUGCGCAGAUAUCAGGAAGAACACCCGUGGCGAAGGCGGCUCUCUGGGACGGUACUGACGCUGAGACGCGAAAGCGUGGGGAGCGAACAGG
rnacentral:rRNA from 1 species